UGGGGAAUUUUGCACAAUGGGGGAAACCCUGAUGCAGCGACGCCGCGUGAUUUAGAAGGCCUUCGGGUUGUAAAAAUCUUUUUUAUGGGAUGAAAAUGACAGUACCAUAAGAAUAAGGUCCGGCUAAAUACGUGCCAGCAGCCGCGGUAAUACGUAUGGACCGAGCGUUGUCCGGAAUCAUUGGGCGUAAAGGGUACGUAGGCGGCCCAGUAAGUUAGAAGUGAAAUAAUAUAGCUCAACUAUAUAAAGCUUUUAAAACUGCUAGGCUUGAGAGAUGGAAGGGAAAGUGGAAUUCCUAGUGUAGCGGUGAAAUGCGCAGAUAUUAGGAAGAAUACCGGUAGCGAAGGCGACUUUCUGGUCAUCAUCUGACGCUGAGGUACGAAAGCGUGGGUAGCAAAAAGG
rnacentral:rRNA from 1 species